UAACACAUGCAAGUCGAACGAGAAGCCAAUCUUCGGAAUGGUGAAAAGUGGCGAGCGGGUGAGGAACGCGUAGACAACCUGCCCUUCAGUGGGGAAUAGCCCCGGGAAACCGGGAUUAAUACCGCAUGACGCUUCAGGAUCGCAUGGUCCUGGAGUUAAAGCUUUAUGCGCUGAAGGAUGGGCCUGCGUCGUAUUAGGUAGUUGGUGAGGUAACGGCUCACCAAGCCAACGAUACGUAGCUGGUCUGAGAGGAUGAUCAGCCACACUGGGACUGAGAUACGGCCCAGACUCCUACGGGAGGCAGCAGUGAGGAAUAUUGGACAAUGGACGCAAGUCUGAUCCAGCAACGCCGCGUGAGCGAUGACGCUGCUCUGCAGUGUAAAGCUCUGUUGAGAGGGAAGAACAGGUGGGUAUUGCCCGCUUUGACGGUACCUCUUGAGGAAGCACCGGCUAACUCCGUGCCAGCAGCCGCGGUAAUACGGGGGGUGCAAGCGUUGUCCGGAUUUAUUGGGCGUAAAGGGCUCGUAGGCGGGACUAUAAGUCAGGCGUGAAAUCUUUCGGCUUAACCGGAAGCGUGCGCUUGAAACUAUAGUUCUUGAGUCACAGAGAGGAAGAUGGAAUUCCUGGUGUAGCGGUGGAAUGCGUAGAUAUCAGGAAGAACACCCAUAGCGAAGGCAAUCUUCUGGCUGUGUACUGACGCUGAGGAGCGAAAGCGUGGGGAGCGAACAGGAUUAGAUACCCUGGUAGUCCACACUGUAAACGAUGGAUACUAGGUGCUGGGUCUGCUUCGGUCGGCUCGGUGUCGUAGCUAACGUGUUAAGUAUCCCGCCUGGGGAGUACGGUCGCAAGGCUGAAACUCAAAGGAAUUGACGGGGGCCCGCACAAGCGGUGGAGCAUGUGGUUUAAUUCGAUCCAACGCGAAGAACCUUACCUGGGAUGUGGCAGAGGACCGUCCAUUAGCGUGGAUUUCCCUUCGGGGUCUCUGUUUCCGGUGCUGCAUGGCUGUCGUCAGCUCGUGUCGUGAGAUGUUGGGUUAAGUCCCGCAACGAGCGCAACCCUUACUUUUAGUUGCUAACGGGUCAAGCCGAGAACUCUAAAGGGACUGCCUGGGUUAACCAGGAGGAAGGUGGGGAUGACGUCAAGUCCGCAUGGCCCUUACGCCCAGGGCUACACACGUGCUACAAUGGAUGGUACAAAGGGUUGCGAUACCGCGAGGUGGAGCCAAUCCCAAAAAACCAUCCUCAGUUCGGAUCGUAGUCUGCAACUCGACUACGUGAAGUUGGAAUCGCUAGUAAUCGUGGAUCAGCACGCCACGGUGAAUACGUUCCCGGGCCUUGUACACACCGCCCGUCACACCAUAGAAGUCGGGGGUACCCGAAGUCGCUGUGCCAACCGCAAGGAGGCAGGCGCCGAAGGUAAAACCGAUGACUAGGGUGAAGUCGUAACAAGGUA
rnacentral:rRNA from 1 species